UGGUGCCCUGGGUGAUAUGGGAAGACAGGAAUGUCUCAGCUCUAUCUUCCCAUUAAAGUCACCAGGGGAACAUCAAACAAAACAAAACAAAACACCCAACUCUGUGUCCCUGUCUCACCCUUAACCAACGGAAUUAGAACCUCUCGUCUCAGGGUGACCGGGCUCCCCAUUGGUUCAAGUCCCCCAGUGACUGUGAAGCAGAGUCCUGGCCCCUGUCACCUGCUGGAUGGAUGUUCCUUGAGAAAGAAAUUUCUACUGUGUUCUAGAGCUAGCUUUGUUUUCAACCGAUCCGCUGGGCAAUUGCCCUUCUGCAUCUGGAUUCUCCAGUCACAUCCUGACCCAUCCGUGGCUGGACGGAGGCUCCUGGCAGGAGGUGUGUCAGCUGCCUCUCUAUCCCAGAGUUGCAGAAUCCCAGAACUCACAGGACAUGCAGACUCCAAAAUCCAAUUCCCUUGUUUUGCUGCGGCUCUGGAUGGCUUGUGGUCUCAGAACAGCUGCUGGUUUGGAAUAUCUUAAAUGCAAUGUGAAAGCGCAUGAGGGUUCAAAUUAAAAAAGAGAAGGAGAGCUCUGCCAUUUCAUAGCAGGAAUUCUUGACAACCUCUCUCUUUCAAGAUGCUCCAAAUGCCUCCCAGACGCCCUUGUAUCAGCUCUUGCCGCCUCCCACGGUGGAGGCCAAGGAACUGGUACCAUCUGAAUCACUUUGUGCCGGGGAAAACAGAGACACCCACAUGUUCCUGCUUACACGAGUGGACAGGUGCCAUGUGUAAUUCAUGCCUCCAUCGGUAGCAGACCCUGGUGAUGUCCGUCCUGCAUCGCCCUGACCCCCCGAGUUCCCUGCAGCAUGGCUGGGCAGCUUCAAAGGAUGCUGACAGCUUGGAUUGAGGCCCUAGGCUUCCUGGCCUCCGGAGUAAGGAUUCCCAGCACGUUCCACACGAUGCCUCAGAAAGUCCCCAGGGAGACAGCGCCCCAUUGCCCACAGCAGUAACAUGCUUGUUAAAGCACCUGUCCUAGGCUGUGCUUCCCCUCCCGUCUCCCUUUUCUCACUCCCUCAGUGGUGCCUCCUAGGUGUUCUCCUGAAUAAACCAUCUG